CCGAGUUUACAACUCCCAAACCCACUGUGAACAUACCUAUACGUUGCCUCGGCGGAUCAGCCGCGCCCCGUAAAAACGGGACGGCCCGCCCGAGGACCCUAAACUCUGUUUUUCAGUGGAACUUCUGAGUAAAACAAACAAAUAAAUUA
rnacentral:misc_RNA from 1 species